AACAGAUGCAUUACAAUAUUGUAACAGAGUCAGCAUAAUUUCAUUAUAUAGUGGACAGCUUGUAAGAUUGAACACAGUUUUGCUUAUUACUCUCUAACGUAGCAGCAACCUUAGGGUAUAUACUCAGUCACUGUUUGAAGCAAUGAUUACGAAUACAUAGUAUGUCAUUGUGUUUAUGCAUUCAAUUGUGUCACAUUGUGUAUCUAGCAAGCUUGCACUGCUACUUAGUAGACUAGUUAACAGGUUUGUCAAUGCAUGGUUGCAAGUCAAAGCAAUAUCUUGACUUCAACAGCUGUCCAUGCUAAAUUCGUACUCUUCCAACUAAUGGGUUACUGAUAGCUGACAGCCUGUAAACAACAACUAGUAUAGACGAUUUUCAGCAGCAAGUCUAAUAUAUUGAUAAUAGAUCAGUAUUGCAAUUGGGACUUUGUCGUGACGUUAUUGGAUGGGCGUGGUCUUAGGGAGGGGCUAGCGCUACACUUUCCUGAAAUCCUGGGGAGAACCCUGGUUGAAGGUAAAGUUUGAGUUUUGCUUUGUCACAUAGAAGGACAGCUGUGGUGAACAGAUGUGUGCCCACAGAUUCUCUGGAGAAAAUGCUGCAACUGCCACAAAAACAAAGGCAAUAACCCCACAAAGAGAAGAACAUGUUUGUAUUGGGAAAUUUUUGCAAUGCCUUGAUCAUGCGUGUUUUCCAUCUUUUCAAAUGUCGGCCUAUGCAUAGGAAUCAAAUCGUGAAUAUCCACUCUUUCACCUAAGGCAGUGCGUACAUAGUCCAGUGUUUGUAUUAGUUCUACCAACAAGUUGGUAGGAACUGGGUAUCCCAAUGGGUCACCAUAGAAGGAAGCUUUUGAAUUCGAAUCUAAAGCAACCACUGUCCAGUGAUUCCCACUCAUCAAUGUAUUUGAUGCAACAGAAGAUCCAAGCUAAUGCUAUGGAUGUGUUCAACGUGAAUUAGCAAACUUUGGAUAGCACAAGGCAAAGACAAUCUUGUGAUGAGCAAUUGAGAAGCGAUGCCAUACCUUCAAGCAGUGUAUCAGGAUGUGUGAAGAAUAUUGGAAGGUGGAUCGGGGAAUGACAUGUCAAAGUACUCUCUAGCAAGAUCUAGCGACUGCUGUGACAUUUCUUACCAGAUUUAUGACGUUUGUUUACCAGUUUACAAUGCUGUAUACGCAUAACUCAAUCUUAACCAGUUAUAGUCAUUACCAGUUGGAUAUAACAGUGUACGCUCUAGAUGUUGAAGAAAGACUCAAAGUAACAUGAUAAUGUUUUGUGCUUGUA